AUACGGAGGAUGCAAGCGUUAUCCGGAUUUAUUGGGUUUAAAGGGUGCGUAGGCGGAUGAUUAAGCGUGAGGUGAAAUGCCACUGCUCAACAGUGGAACUGCCUCGCGAACUGGUUGUCUUGAAUGCUCCUGCCGUGGGAGGAAUGUGUGGUGUAGCGGUGAAAUGCAUAGAGAUCACACAGAACACCGAUUGCGAAGGCAGCUAACGAGGGGGUGAUUGAUGCUGAGGCACGAAAGCGUGGGGAUCAAACAGGAUUAGAUACCCUGGUCGUCCACGAAGUAAAGGAUGAUAACUAACCGCUGGGUCGUAGUGAUUCAGUGGCCAAGCGAAAGCAAUAAGUUAUCCACCUGGGGAGUUCGACCGCAAGGUUGAAACUCAAAUGAAUUGGCGGGG
rnacentral:rRNA from 1 species